rnacentral:rRNA from 1 species
GGGAUUGCCUCAGUAACGGCGAGUGAAGCGGCAACAGCUCAAAUUUGAAAUCUGGCCCCUUCGGGGUCCGAGUUGUAAUUUGUAGAGAGUGUUUCGGGUGAGACCACGGUCUAAGUCCAUUGGAACAUGGCGUCAUAGAGGGUGAGAAUCCCGUAUGUGACUGUGGCUCGAACCCAUGUGAAGCCUCUUCGACGAGUCGAGUUGUUUGGGAAUGCAGCUCAAAAUGGGUGGUAAAUUUCAUCUAAAGCUAAAUACUGGCUGGAGACCGAUAGCGCACAAGUAGAGUGAUCGAAAGAUGAAAAGCACUUUGGAAAGAGAGUCAAACAGUACGUGAAAUUGUUGAAAGGGAAGCGCUUGCAACCAGACCUGUCCGUAGGUGAUCAGCCGCUGUUCUCAGUGGUGCACUCGCUCUGCGAUCAGGCCAGCAUCGGUUUCGGCGGCCGGAUAAAGGCCUUGAGAAUGUAGCUUCCCUUCGGGGGAGUCUUAUAGCCCUCGGUGCAAUGCGGCCAGCCGGGACCGAGGACCGCGCUUCGGCUAGGAUGCUGGCGUAAUGGUUGUAAGCGACCCGUCUUGAAACACGGACCAAGGAGUCUAACAUCUAUGCGAGUGUUUGGGUGUCAAACCCAUGCGCGGAAUGAAAGUGAACGGAGGUGAGAACCCUUAAGGGCGCAUCAUCGACCGAUCCAGAUGUCUUCGGAUGGAUUUGAGUAUGAGCAUAGCUGUUGGGACCCGAAAGAUGGUGAACUAUGCCUGAAUAGGGUGAAGCCAGAGGAAACUCUGGUGGAGGCUCGCAGCGGUUCUGACGUGCAAAUCGAUCGUCAAAUUUGGGUAUAGGGNGCGAAAGACUAUC